GCUCUGUCUCUCUCUGUCCCAAAAAUAAUAAAUAAACAUUGAAAAAAAAAUUAAAAAAAAAUUAAAAAAAAAAGAAUUCAAUUUCAUAAACUUACAAUUACAACAGUUAUAUUUAAAAACAAAGGUAACAAAACCCCCCACUCACCACUUUUAAAUUAUUUUGCUACAUUUUAACAUGACCCAUGCUCUUGAGCUGAUUUACAUCCAUCCUACCUGUACCGUGAACAGAAAAGAUAGUGCCGUGCUGCCUCGCUCUUCACGACCGCAUAGUCAGUGAGUCACAAUGAUAGUUUGAAAUCUGCACGAUGGGAGAAUUUACACCACAGAAAUUGGCUAGAAGUCAUGGCUUGAUUUAUCCUUUUGUUGACUAUCUAGACGUAAGAAAAUGAUGGAGAAAAUAGUAAUAACAUGAGUAGCAUUAAGUUUAAAUCUGUUUUGUGCCGAUAUUCGUUACCUUGUGGACAGCCCCCUCAAAUUGAGGAAAUAUUCCUUUGAUAUUCAGAAACUGUUAUCUGAUUCAGCAACGAAGCUGCUUACAUCAUCCAUGAACAGGUGUUGUUCUGACGCAUGUCUUUGUUGUUUAUUACUCCUUAAUAUAAAUGAAGAUAUUCACCAGUAUUCAUGUUGGAAUUAUACUUGUUUGAUCAUUGCAACCAUGGGUGGCUAAGGAUACAACAGUAAGAUAAGAAUCAAGGAAAGUGUUCUGUGAGAAAUCAACUGACUAUAUGGAAUUUCUAAUGCAGAGGCUUGAAUAUUUUCUUACAGUUAUAUAUUAUAGUCAAACGUUAUUUAUGUCAGGAAAUUUAUAUUACACGUACACAUGUAUUUAUGUGUGCAUGUUUUUCGUAGAGAGCCGAUUGUCAAACUUUUCCUAGCACACCACUGCCCAUAAAGUUGAGUUUCCUACUCUUACUUAGAAUAUACCUCUAUUUUUCCAGAGCCAAAGCCUCUUCCAUGUGAGAUAUUGGAGGAAGAGCUAUGGAGCCAGUGGAGGAGAAAGUAUCCUCUGGAGAGCUGCACAGCAGGGAGACUGUCUGGGCCAAUGGGAAAAGACUUGCGGUCAGGGGACCUGGUUCUUCUCUCAGCGCUGCUACUGAUGAGCCCUUUGGCCUUGGACAGAUUUCAAGACCAGUUCUGUCAGAUGGCUGAGACCCAACCUUACAAGGUAGUGGUGGUGAUGAUGAUGUGCUCCUGGCUUCAUUCUAGGACUAUGUCGGAUUGCAUGGUCUGGCCCUAUGCUAUAGGAGGAAGACAAGGAGGAAAUGUACACUGGGAGGGUCCAGACCAACAUUUUGGACUUGGCUUGCUACCAGAUCCAGGUGAAACCUUUUGGUGAGAAUUCUAUCCAGCUCUGAGAAAUCUGACUAAAGACAGUGCGAUUCCCAGGAUGAAGGAUUCCACAGUAUCAUGGCAAGUAUACAUGGUAAUGGUUGCCUGGUUGUCCCGCAAAGAGACUUACAGCCAUUUACUUUGGUGACCACAGACUAGGGAGAUGGGGGGGGGUACCCAAUCAUAGGGUAAAAGUUAACCCAGAGACCUGAAGCAUCAUCAUGACAGCAUAUGGAGGCCAAGCAAUAAAUACAAUCCUGAUCCAGCUGUGGUUCAUCAUGGGUCUAGUGGGUCCAUGGACCCACUCAGUGGUCAUUUCCCUGUCUCCAAAUGUACCAUGGGAGAAGAUAUACUUUGUAUGUGGCAUAAUCCCCGUAUUGGUUUCCUCACUUUUGGAAUAAGACCAGUCAUAGUGGGAAGGCCAAGUAGAAGCUCUGAACCUUCCAACCCACCCCCCACUCCCAGCCAAAACAAUAAAUUGAAAAUAAAAUCACUUUCCAGCCACCUUUAUAGUCUAAAGGAUGCUGAGAUGGUAGGCCUCAUGAUAUCUUUAUUUAAUUCAUCGGUUUGACCCUUGAAAAAACCAGAUGGAUGCUGGCAGAUAAGGACCUACUACUGCAAACUCAACUGUGUAGAAGCCACAAUUACAGAUGGCGUACCAGAUGUGGUGUCUUUGCUACAGCAGAUUAACAAGGCCUCAAGUACAUGAUAUGUGGCCAUUGGUCUGGCACAUAUAUUUUUUUCCCAUCUCCAUAAGGUAAGAGGAUAAAAAACAAUUCGCAUCCAUCUGGAAUGGGCAACAGAUUACAUUUACAAUCUUGACCUAGGAUUAUAUCAACUCCCCUGUCCUCUAUCACAAUAUAGUCUGAGGAGUCUGAGGGGACUUUAUGCCAAACGUCACACUGUUCCACUAGAAUGAUGACAUUAUGCUAAUCAGAUAAUGAGCAAAAAAUGGCUAAGGGGCGCCUGGGUGGCUCAGUUGGUAAGUAUCCGA